rnacentral:rRNA from 1 species
UACGGAAGGUGCAAGCGUUAAUCGGAAUUACUGGGCGUAAAGCGCACGUAGGCGGCGUGUUAAGUCGGAUGUGAAAUCCCCGGGCUCAACCUGGGAACUGCAUCCGAUACUGACAGGCUAGAGUACGGUAGAGGGGGGUGGAAUUCCAGGUGUAGCGGUGAAAUGCGUAGAGAUCUGGAGGAACACCGGUGGCGAAGGCGGCCCCCUGGACUGAUACUGACGCUGAGGUGCGAAAGCGUGGGGAGCAAACAGG